rnacentral:rRNA from 1 species
AUUGAACGCUGGCGGCAGGCCUAACACAUGCAAGUCGAACGAGUGGCGGACGGGUGAGUAAUGUCUGGGAAACUGCCUGAUGGAGGGGGAUAACUACUGGAAACGGUAGCUAAUACCGCAUACCAUCAGAUGUGCCCAGGUGGGCUUGGCUUGUUGGGGGGGUAACGGCUCACCAAGGCGACGAUCCCUAGCUGGGCUGAGAGGAGGACCGGCUACACUGGGACUGAGACACGGCCCAGACUCCUACGGAAGGCAGCAGUGGGGAAUAUUGCACAAUGGGCGAAAGCCUGAUGCAGCAAUGCCGCGUGUAUGAAGAAGGCCUUCGGGUUGUAAAGUACUUUCAGCGGGGAGGCGUUACCCGCAGAAGAAGCACCGGCUAACUCCGUGCCAGCAGCCGCGGUAAUAC